AUUGAACGCUGGCGGCAGGCCCAACACAUGCAAGUCGAACGGUAACAGGAAGCAGCUUGCUGCUUUGCUGACGAGUGGCGGACGGGUGAGUAAUGUCUGGGAAACUGCCUGAUGGAGGGGGAUAACUACUGGAAACGGUAGCUAAUACCGCAUAACGUCGCAAGACCAAAGAGGGGGACCUUCGGGCCUCUUGCCAUCGGAUGUGCCCAGAUGGGAUUAGCUAGUAGGUGGGGUAACGGCUCACCUAGGCGACGAUCCCUAGCUGGUCUGAGAGGAUGACCAGCCACACUGGAACUGAGACACGGUCCAGACUCCUACGGGAGGCAGCAGUGGUGAAUAUUGCACAAUGGGCGAAAGCCUGAUGCAGCCAUGCCGCGUGUAUGAAGAAGGCCUUCGGGUUGUAAAGUACUUUCAGCGGGGAGGAAGGGAGUAAAGUUAAUACCUUUGCUCAUUGACGUUACCCGCAGAAGAAGCACCGGCUAACUCCGU
rnacentral:rRNA from 1 species